rnacentral:tRNA from 1 species
GCCUUCGUGGUGUAAUGGCCAGCACGCUCGAAAACGUAUUCGAGAGGCCCGAGGUUCAAGUCCCCGCGAGAGCA